rnacentral:rRNA from 1 species
UGCCUCUGAGUUCAUUCCGGAACUGGCAAGUCGAGCGGACAGACGGGAGCUUGCUCCCUGAAGUCAGCGGCGGACGGGUGAGUAACACGUGGGCAACCUGCCUGUAAGACUGGGAUAACUCCGGGAAACCGGGGCUAAUACCGGAUAACUCUUUCCCUCACAUGAGGGAAAGCUGAAAGAUGGCUUCUCCUUUUACUUUCAGGAGGGGCCCCGGGCCCAUUACUUAGUUGGGGAGGUACCGCUCAACCAGGGGAACAAGCCUAACCCACCUGAAAAGGUGAACGGCCCACUGGGACUUAGAACAGGGCCCAACUCCUUCCGGAAGCAGCAAUAAGGAAUCUUUCGGAAUGGACGAAAGUCCGACGGGGGCAAGCCGGGUGAGUAUGGAGGUUUUCGGAUCGUAAAAUCCUGUUGUCAGGGGAGAACAAGUACGGAAGAACUGCCGGUACCUUGACGGUACCUGACCAGAAAAGCCACGGCUAACUACGUGCAGCAGCCCGGUUAAACGUAAGGGGGCAAGCUUUGUCGGAAUUUUUUGGGGGUAAAGCGCCGCCA